GAUGAACGCUGGCGGCGUGCCUAAUACAUGCAAGUAGAACGCUGAAGGAAGGAGCUUGCUCUUUCCGGAUGAGUUGCGAACGGGUGAGUAACGCGUAGGUAACCUGCCUGGUAGCGGGGGAUAACUAUUGGAAACGAUAGCUAAUACCGCAUAACAGUAGAUGUUGCAUGAUAUCUACUUAAAAGGUGCAAUUGCACCACUACCAGAUGGACCUGCGUUGUAUUAGCUAGUUGGUGAGGUAACGGCUCACCAAGGCGAAGAGACAUAGCCGACCUGAGAGGGUGAUCGGCCACACUGGGACUGAGACAAGGCCCAGACUCCUACGGGAGGCAGCAGUAGGGAAUCUUCGGCAAUGGACGGAAGUCUGACCGAGCAACGCCGCGUGAGUGAAGAAGGUUUUCGGAUCGUAAAGCUCUGUUGUAAGAGAAGAACGGGUGUGAGAGUGGAAAGUUCACACUGUGACGGUAUCUUACCAGAAAGGGACGGCUAACUACGUG
rnacentral:rRNA from 1 species